CACGUAGGCGGACAUUUAAGUCAGGGUGAAAUCCCAGGGCUCAACCCUGGAACUGCCUUUGAUACUGGGUGUCUUGAGUACGAGAGAGGUGAGUGGAAUUCCGAGUGUAGAGGUGAAAUUCGUAGAUAUUCGGAAGAACACCAGUGGCGAAGGCGGCUCACUGGCUCGUAACUGACGCUGAGGUGCGAAAGCGUGGGGAGCAAACA
rnacentral:rRNA from 1 species